GCAGGGGUAUUAAAAUGGCCCCAAAGGUAAAGAGUAAACGGAGGACAGUAAAAAAAAAAAAAAAAAAAAAAAUUAACUAUCCCUUCCUGGCUCAAAGCUAACAAAACUAAAAGGCAAACUGGCAGCAUCAGACACAGCCACGGUAGUUACUGUUCCAUCCCGAGUCCUGGGCCACACAGAGGAAUUCUUAGAAUGCUAAACCAAGUAAUCUGAAGAUACAUAUUUUCUCCAUGGUGAGCCUCAAAGGCUCAGGGGUACACACUCACCUAGUACCCACGAAACCCUAACGGGAACAGCUUUGUGCCACUUUCAGUGACAACUACAAGGAACCAAGGCUCUGGGCACCCCAGGCUUUCUCUUGUCUCUCCAAACUUUAUCUUUUUUUGUUUUUGUUUUUGUUUAAACUCUAGUAAAUGUGCAAUUCUGUUUUGCCCCUCCUAUCUCCUUAUCUCCUUUCCCACUAUGACUCCACCGUGAUGCUCAGGGUGUACUCCUUCUCUAACUCCAGCCAGCUAUCCUCAAGUCACUUUUUGUAUCUGAUUUGUGUGGGAUUAUUUUUUUUUCCAUUUCUGGGGUUUGCAGGCACUGUGUGUGUGUGUGUGUGUGUGUGUGUGUGUCCAUGCAUGUGCAUGUAAGGUCAGAGAACAGCUAUCAGGAGUUGGUUGGUCCUCUUCUAUCAUGUGAGUCUUGGGAGUCUAACUCCGGUUGUCAAGCUUGGCAGCAAGUACACUCUACUACCUGAGCCAUUUUCCUGGCCAUAGCUAUUGAAUCUUGUAACUCUCUGAGUUCUAUGAUCCAUAUGAAUUUUAUGAGCUUGCUGACUCUUCCCGAUUUCAAUCUAAAGCAAAGUUAAAGACUAUUACCCACGCAGCCAAUUCCUAGGCUAUUUCUGUAAUAAGUUACUUCUCCUCUUUGCUGCAGCAGAAUGCCUGACCAGAGCCAAUUAAGGGGAAAGGAUUUACUUGAACGCACAGUUUGAAGAUCCCGUCCAUCAUGGCAUUGCAACCACAGUCAGGAAACAGACGGGUGAAUGCUGGCACUCAGCUCUCCAGAAACCCCAGCCCAUGGAGCAGUGCCACCCAUAGGGUUCACAUCAGAUAUUUUGAUCACAGCAUCAUGAAGGUAACUAAUCUACUGGAAAGGCUCUCCUGUCCCUCACCUGAGCACCCUCUUCAUCACGUGUGUGUGAGAGAGAAAGAGAGAACCAGACACAAACAGACAGUGUGUGCAGGUGUAGGUGUACAUUUAUGGAGGCCAGA